UCUGCGCUGCCAGUACACAGUGAUGUGGUUUAAUGACGCUCCCUCACUAAAAACCCCUCAGCGUCUUCCUGUUAGUGAGAUGUUUGCACUUGCAGUUGAGGAGUGUCACUGGAGGAGGCACAAACUCCAAAAUGUCUCCGGCUGUGAUCGGAUUUCUUCUCAUCUUACUUCCAUAUCGAGCAACGAGUGUGACGUUUCAGCCGUCUUUUCCGAGGAUAGUCAGCGACACCGCCAGGGUAGAAAUCAAAUGCAAUCAUGAUGACGAUAACCUCAAUGCCAUGCUCUGGUACCAGCAGAAGCAGAGCGGUUUGAUGACUUUCAUUGGAUACAGCUACAUCGGCAGUGACCCCAUAUAUGAGAAGCAGUUUGAACAUCGGUUUAAGAUGACAAGAGAAAACAAAAAAGCAGGAGCUCUGAUUAUUCAGAGCGUCAAUCUGUCAGACUCGGCUGUGUAUUUCUGCGCUGCCAGUACACAGUGAUGUGGUUUAAU